GAUUGAAGGAAAAACACAUGCAGUCGUACAGGUAACACCAAGCUUGCUCUCUGCGUUACGGCGGACGGGUGAGUGACACGUGGGCAACCUGCCCCUUAGACUGGGAUAACUCCUGGAAACCGGAGCUAAUACCGGAUAAUCCCUUUCUCCACCUGGAGAGAGGGUGAAAGAUGGCUUCGGCUAUCACUAGGGGAUGGGCCCGCGGCGCAUUAGCUAGUUGGUAAGGUAACGGCUUACCAAGGCGACGAUGCGUAGCCGACCUGAGAGGGUGAUCGGCCACACUGGGACUGAGACACGGCCCAGACUCCUACGGGAGGCAGCAGUAGGGAAUCUUCCGCAAUGGACGAAAGUCUGACGGAGCAACGCCGCGUGAGUGAGGAAGGCCUUCGGGUCGUAAAGCUCUGUUGUGAGGGAAGAAGCGGUACCGUUCGAAUAGGGCGGUACCUUGACGGUACCUCACCAGAAAGCCACGGCUAACUACGUGCCAGCAGCCGCGGUAAUACGUAGGUGGCAAGCGUUGUCCGGAAUUAUUGGGCGUAAAGCGCGCGCAGGCGGCUUCUUAAGUCUGAUGUGAAAUCUCGGGGCUCAACCCCGAGCGGCCAUUGGAAACUGUGGAGCUUGAGUGCAGAAGAGGAGAGUGGAAUUCCACGUGUAGCGGUGAGAUGCGUAGAGAUGUGGAGGAACACCAGUGGCGAAGGCGACUCUCUGGUCUGUAACUGACACUGAGGCGCGAAAGCGUGUGGAGCACACAGGAUUAGAUACCCUGGUAGUCCACGCCGUAUACGAUGAGUGCUAGGUGUUAGGGGUGUCGAUGCCCGUAGUGCCGAAGUUAACACAUUAAGCACUCCGCCUGGGGAGUACGGCCGCAAGGCUGAAACUCAAAGGAAUUGACGGGGACACGCACAAGCAGUGGAGCAUGUGGUUUAAUUCGAAGCAACGCGCAGAAACUUACCAGGUCUUGACAUCCUUUGACCACCCCAAGAGAUUGGGCUUCCCCUCCGGGGGCAAAGUGACACGUGGGUGCAGGGUUGUCUUCACCUCGCGUCGUGAGAUGUUGGGUUAAGUCCCCCAACAAGCGCCACCCCUUGUUCUUAGUUUCCACCAUUUAAGUUGGGGAACUCUAAGGGGGACUGCCGGGUGGCAAAACACGGAGGAAAGGGGGGGAGAAACGCCAAAAAUUCAUGCGCCCUUUUAACCUGGGGCUAAACCACUGUUCA
rnacentral:rRNA from 1 species